GGCUGUGGAGUUUAUUCCACCUAUCUGCCUAGCUAGGCAGCUGUCACCUCCUUCUUCACCAUCCCAUGAGNGUCUCUUCUGAAGCUNUGGUCUUAGCCAGAGAGGACUUUUUCCAAUAUGGGAGAUUGCUUUGUGUAAGGACAUAUGAGUAGCUGUGCUCCCUUCCAAGAACCUUCAAACAUGGUCUGGAGGGCCAUUUGUGGAUUCCAAGUUAGUAGACACAUCUAAAUCAAGUGCUGCAUGAUUUCAUUUGUAUUGCUUU
rnacentral:snRNA from 1 species